rnacentral:rRNA from 1 species
UGGGGAAUAUUGCACAAUGGGCGCAAGCCUGAUGCAGCCAUGCCGCGUGUAUGAAGAAGGCCUUCGGGUUGUAAAGUACUUUCAGCGGGGAGGAAGGGAGUAAAGUUAAUACCUUUGCUCAUUGACGUUACCCGCAGAAGAAGCACCGGCUAACUCCGUGCCAGCAGCCGCGGUAAUACGGAGGGUGCAAGCGUUAAUCGGAAUUACUGGGCGUAAAGCGGACGCAGGCGGUUUGUUAAGUCAGAUGUGAAAUCCCCGGGCUCAACCUGGGAACUGCAUCUGAUAAUGGCAAGCUUGAGUCUCGUAGAGGGGGGUAGAAUUCCAGGUGUAGCGGUGAAAUGCGUAGAGAUCUGGAGGAAUACCGGUGGCGAAGGCGGCCCCCUGGACGAAGACUGACGCUCAGGUGCGAAAGCGUGGGGAGCAAACAGG